UAUCAUAAGCGAGGAAAAGAAACUAACAAGGAUUCCCCUAGUAACGGCGAGUGAAGCGGGAUGAGCUCAAAUUUAAAAUCUGGCUGGUUUACUAGUCCGAAUUGUAGUUUAAAGAAGCGUUUUCGGUGGCAGCCUGGGUAUAAAUCCUUUGGAACAGGGUAUCAUAGAGGGUGAGAAUCCCGUCUUUGACUCAGUGCAUGCUACUAUGUGAUACGUUUUCAAAGAGUCGAGUUGUUUGGGAAUGCAGCUCAAAAUGGGUGGUAAAUUUCAUCUAAAGCUAAAUAUUGGCGAGAGACCGAUAGCGAACAAGUACCGUGAGGGAAAGAUGAAAAGAACUUUGAAAAGAGAGUUAAACAGUGCGUGAAAUUGUUGAAAGGGAAACGCUUGACACCAGUCAUGCGAGCGGAAAAUCAGUCUUUUGCAGUGGGGAGUUGUGUGGGUUCGGACCGCAAGGCCGGCCUGCGCUGCAUCUCUGCUGUAAGUGAUGCACUUUUUCGUUUGCAGGCCAACAUCAGUUUCUUCUGCUGGACAAAACUCUUGAGAAGGUGGCAGCUUAGGCUGUGUUAUAGCUCUUGAGCGAUACAGUGGAGGGGACUGAGGUUUUCGCAGCGCGUGCUCUCGGGCAAGGCUGAUUGGGUGCUAUGGGAUCGUUCGGUGUACAAUGCAUGCAUUUUGCGCCGUGUCUUUUCUAUACUCGCUCAACUCGGCUCUUCCGCGCUUAGGAUGUUGGCUUAAUGGUUUUAAUCGACCCGUCUUGAAACACGGACCAAGGAGUCUAACAUAUAUGCAAGUGUUUGGGUGGCAAACCCAUGCGCGUAAUGAAAGUGAACGUAGGUGCGAUCCGCAAGGUGCAGCAUCGACCGAUCUUGAUAUUUUUGGAUAGAUUUGAGUAAGAGCAUAUAUGCUGGGACCCGAAAGAUGGUGAACUAUGCCUGAAUAGGGUGAAGCCAGAGGAAACUCUGGUGGAGGCUCGUAGCGAUUCUGACGUGCAAAUCGAUCGUCAAAUUUGGGUAUAGGGGCGAAAGACUAAUCGAACCAUCUAGUAGCUGGUCUG
rnacentral:rRNA from 1 species